GUGCUCACUUUGGCAAUACAUACACUAAAACUGUGACAAUAUAGAGAAGAUUAGCAAGGCCCCUGAGCGAGGACGAAGCCCAAAUUUGUGAAGUGUUCCCUAUUUUA
rnacentral:snRNA from 1 species